rnacentral:lncRNA from 1 species
AGAGUAUCUCCAUUUUGUAAAAUGGUAUUCAACUUCUGUGUGUGAUUUUUUUUUGUUUUUUUUUGUUUUUUUUGUUUUUUUGCCCUCUCUUUGUUUCCAUUGCGAUAGUGUGGUUUGUUCCGUGCUGUGAUUGUUCCCAUGAUCGAUUGUUCAUACCUCUUUCAAGCGUGGAUCUAUGUUGCAGUGGCUUUCUCAACAGUAUGAUCGUCAGUUGCACACGCAAAAUCACACUCGAUAUCUGCACAGUUGAGAGUUUUUAUAUUUUUCUUAACAUUCAAACGAUUUUGUUCCUGCAUUUUCAGUAUCUCGAGCAGAUUCUUAUCUCCUGAAUUGGCGCUUCUGUCGCUCUUCGACCACCCCGGAGUUGUGGUCCAUUACUGAAGUGAAGAUUAAACCACUCCACAUAACUUAGGUGAUAAUCAACUAUCACCCUUUAGGAUGCAAGCAGCAUUUGGUCACAGGAGGAUGUGUUUAAUUGUUGCGUGGCAGAAGUGCAAGGAAGUUAGUAAGCCUUGCACAGGAGGGCUUGAAGCCUGAGCUGUAAAGAUCACUGCUUCACAAUGACACACAAAUGUGAACGUUUCUAGUUGAGCCCAACAAUGGCUGCCUAAUCCUUCGU